CGAAAUUUUCUGCACUCUAUAUUUCUUCAUUCCACUGUUUAAAAUUCAGUCCUGUACUUGAACAGAGUUCAGUAAUGUACACCACAUAUCUAAUUUUCCCACAAUUUCAUACUUGCAGUGCUAAUACUACAACAUAAGAGAGAGAUUAACUCUGAACUAGCCUGUGGUGUCUGCUCCUAAAUAAUUGACUGAUUCCAAAGUUUAUACCUUCGUGUCCAAGCAGGCGUUUUUGGAUCAAUCUGCUCCACGGAGUUUUCUGAAACAUCUAGCUUAUCUCCACUCCUUGCUUGUCCUUCAGCCGACGGGGGACAGGUCUGCGCCCUUGAAGCACUCGCAGCUCCCACUUGACCGCCUGGCGGCGACCGCACAGGGUGAUGCAGCGGCUCCAUUGGCAACUCGUUGUCGGUCACCUCUUCAAUCAAGGUUCUACUGCACAGACACACAGCGAGUUCGCGAGAUUUAGAUCCCACGCUUUACCAAACCCAAAUCGCGAAGACGUAGAGAACAAAGAGCACACAUGGACAUACUACGCACCUAUUGAACGGCCGCAUCAAGAACUCCAUCGACGUCGGAGCAGAGAUUCACGAACCCUAGAACAGUCGCCCCUGUCGCCGCCUAGGCACCCUGAUAGAAGCCGACCGACA
rnacentral:lncRNA from 1 species